GGAGGCCAGUACUCCCCUUUGUCCUUGUUCGGGGGCAUGCUGGUGGCUGACCAUGAGGGUGUCUCAGAUCUUGGUGUGACGGGCCCUGUGAAGUCAGGCAAGAACACAGCCAAGCCCCAGGAGCUGCCAUCUGGGCUCUCAUGCUGACGGGAGACAUGUGUCAUUCACACGCAGGUGCAGACCUGUGGAGCCACUGCAGUGCAGAGUCCAAGCUGCAGCACUUAGGAACUAGGCUGAACCAUGGAGGGCUUCCUGGAGGUCAGGCUGAAGCCCCUGGUUUGGCUGAGACAAACUGAAGAGAGCCCCAGAUGGGAGAGAGAAUGCUGUUGAAGAGAUAAAGCAACUCUCCUGUGUCCUAGAAAACAAGGAAUUCUCCAUCACUGAGUUUAGUAAUUUCUGCUUUCAGUCACUCGUGGCCCCUGUGUGAUGUCAAGGCCUUUCCCUUCCAAAGUGACUCACAGUCUCAUGGAGCAUAUGGCCAGAGGUGGGGCCAACAUAAGCACAAGGCUCUUAAAAGGAAGAAGAGUCAGUGUCAGGGCGAUGUGAUUUGAGAAGGACUGAACUGGCCACUGCUGAUUUUGAAUACAGAAGACAUCCACAAGCCAGAAAUGAGGGCGACCUCUACAGUCUGGAAAAAGAUUCUCCACUAGGAUCACUGGAAAGAGGCACAGCCGGGCACUCUGAUUUCAGUCUGCUGAGGAAAUUCCUGCUGGUUGCACUUAGGAACCCAAGGAAGAAACCGAGAUAGGAAGCCAGGAAGCAUCCUCUGCUCUGCCUUCUUCCUCACCUGCCAUGUUCAACACGUCAUUGGCAUGCCCUCUGCACCUGAUGGAAGCCCUCGCCAGCUCUGGGAUUCCAGCCUGUAGACUCAGCUCAGGCUCCUGCAGGAGACACACAGAGUCAGGUCUCAGCUGAAGCUCCCAGGCACUAUCGAAAAGCAUCUCUAUUCCUCAGAAACUCAGAGAAAACAGAGCAGGAAGGGACCUCAGAGAGGUACAAUAAGCCUCUACCUUACUGAUGAGGAAACACUGAAGCCCAGAAACACGGAGACUCUCCCAGGAUCCCUCCCUUACCACUUGGUGGCAGCAGAUCCACCAAACAAGUCUUGGCCUCAGCCUCCCUGUGCAGAGCAGGUAACUCACCCUCCAGAAGCUCGCUGCUGCCAUUCAGAAAACUUUAGAUGAAAAAUAGCAAUUUCCACUGUGGAAACAAAAAUGGGAAAAGCCCCUUUCCUUGGACAAAGCUUUAUCACAGUUCUACAGUCCUGGCCUUUAUACUUGGUCAGUUGUCAUUCGCUGGCUGCUAGAUUGGGGCAGGGAGCACAUAGGAUUAAAUAGUGUUUCACACAACCCUGCUUUCCCGGCCUGGGCUCCAUUCUUCUUCAGAAACUUUCUGCUGCUGUAACUGCUGGAGAGUCCAGGCCCUCCUGUGGGUCAUUUCUCCAUGAAGAUCACUGUUAUUUCUUCCUCUCUUGGAGGUAGAGAGGGCAGAGAUUGGUUCUGGGACUCCAUAGUCUUAGGUUUUCUCCUAAGCCAGCCAGGGCAGCUGAAAGCAAUCAUGACUGAGAGCAGUCAGGUGAGUGAAGAGGAGCAUGGGCUCACAAGGACAUCCUCUCGUGAAGAUGGUCGGGACCGUGACACAGGCAAUGUCUGACCAAUUCUGCGGGGGAUGACGCAACAAGGAUUAAGUGGGGGAUGCUGCCACGAGGAGAACAAGGAAGAACCAAAAGAGCAGGGGGAGAAGGAAAAUAAAAUGUUUUCAAUAAUGAUAGAAAAAAAUGCAGAGCCCGGAGGCAAAACCCCCUGUCACAGAGGGUCAGUUCCAGGCUGUGGAGCCUAAUGAAGAAUUUCUGGCUGGACUUUGCUCAGCCCCAGGUCAAAAUGGUUUUGGAUCAGUGACUUUGCUCCCUCCACUUUCCCUCUUUUUGAACAAGAAUCACUAGCAGUGUUAUUCUGUGACUGUCCCACCACUGCACACUGAGAACAGAUAAGCUGUUUGUUCAGUUUCACGGGUCAACUGGGGUAAGGGAAUUAUAUCAAGGAUCUAUACUUGGGCUGGGCAUGGUGCCUCAUGCUCAUAAUUCUAGCACUUUGGGAGACCUAUGGGGAUGGAUUCCCGGAGGUCAGGAGUUUCAGACUAGCCUGGCCAACAGGGCAAAACCCCGUCUCUACCAAAAAUACAAAACAAUUAGCUGAAUGCAGUGGUGCAUGUCUAUAUUUCCAGCUACUCAAGAGGCUGAGUCAGGGGAAUCACUUGAACCCAGGAGGCAGAAGUCGCAGUAAGCCAAGAUCGCACCACUGCACUCCAGCAUGGGUGACAGACCAAGACUCACUCUCAAAUAAAAAGAAUCUGUACUUAACGGACACCCUCAGAAGCCUCAUUCACACUUGGUGCAGAUGAUUUAAAUGAGAUUUUAUACUUUUGACCAGAUUAAAGCUACAUGACAUUGUUCGCUUUGCACUAAUGUAUAAUGACAUUGGAAACCUCAGGUGAGAGGGUGAAUGUAUUUGGCAUCUGUGAGAAUGUGAAUUUCUAGGGACCUGAAGUUGAACUGUGAUAGGUGGAAUUUCUAAAAUGGUCUCCAAACAUGUUGUACCCUUAUCUGUGGAACCUGUUAAAGUGAUGAGAUAUUCCUGUGAUUACUUUGUUACAUGGCAGUCAUAUGACUUUAAAGAGUGAUAUGGUUUGGCUCUGUGUCCCCACCCAAAUCUCAAGUUGAAUUAUAAUCCUGAGUGUUAGAGGUGGGGCCUGGCAGAAGGUUACUGGAUCAUGGAGAUGGUUUCUAAGGGCAUAGCACCAUCCCCCAAGAGCUGUCACAUGAUAGAGUUUCCAUGAGAUCUGGCUCUUUAAAACUAUGUAGCACUUCCCCUUUCUCUCUCUCUGUCUCUGUCUGUCUCUCUCUCUCUCUCUCUCUCUCACUCACUCUCACUCACUCCCAGCCCACAGAACCAUGACCUAAUUAAAUCUCUUCUUUAUAAAUCUCAGCCUCAGGUCAUUAUAGCAUUACAAGAACAGACUAAUACCAAGCCUGAGCUUUCCUGAGUGGGCCGGAUCUAAUCACACCCCUCCCUAAGAGUCACAGAUUUCUCUAGUGGGUAGGAGAAGACAAAGUCAGAGAGACGAUGGGAGCUGGAGAAGAAUUCCAUGAGCUGUUGUUGGCUGGAAGAUGGGGAAAGCGAGAAAGAAUGCAGGUGGCCUCUGGAGUCAGAGUGUCUUCAGGCUGAGAGCCAGGAGGAGGAGGACUGCAAAAUGAAUCUCAGUCUGGUACCCACAAGAAGAUGGAUUCUGCCAAUACGUCUGUAGUGAACUUGGAAGAGUAGCCUGAGCUCUAGAUGAAAAACACAGGCACAUAACUGGAUUUCAGCCUCCUAAGACCCUGAUCAGAGAACCCAAUCAUUCCUGAUUUCUGUGGUUUCAAACCACUAACUUGUUAUACUGUGUUAAUAGGUAGCAAGAGAAAACUAGUUACAGGUGCUUAUCUGUACUCUUUUUAUAUUUUCACAUACAUGUAUGCUAAUCCCUAUAGGCACACACACACAAAAAAAGCAGAGAACUACAGUAAAAUGUGAUGCUUCCCUUUACGGGAGCACUGCAAGGGCUGUUCCAGAGCCCUUGCAACUUGAAGAUAACGUAGGGCAUUUCAGGCAGGUGAGAAGCAUCUCUUCAAUGUUACCAACCCAAUCUCUGAAAGAAAAAAGAUGGUAAAAUACUUAACUCCCACCCAGGUGUGGUGGCUCAUGCAUGUAAUCCCAGCACUUUGGGAGGCUGAGGAGGGCAGAUCACCUGAGGUCAGGAGUUCAAGAACAGCCUGACCAACAUAGAGAAACUCUGUCUCUACUAAAAAUACAAAAUUAGCCAGGCAUGGUGGUGCAUGCCUGUAAUCCCAGCAACUCGAAAGGCUGAAAUAUAAGAAUAGCUUGAACCCUAGAGGUAGAAGUUGCAGUAAGCUAGGAUCACACCACAGCACUCUAGCCUGGGUGACAGAGUGAGACUGUGUCCCCUAAAAAAUAAAAUAAAAUCCAGGCAUGGUGAUUCAUGCCUGUAAUCCCAACACUUUGGGAGGCCAAGGUGGGCGUAUCACUGGAGGUUAGGAGUUUGAGACUACCCUGACCAACAUGGAGAAACCCCAUCUCUACAAAAAAUACAAAAUUAGCUUGGCAUAGUGGCAUAUGCCUAUAAUCCCAGCUACUUGGGAGGCUGAGGCAGGAGAAUUACUUGAACCUGGGAGGCAGAGUUUCACCGAGGCAAGAUCACGCUGUUGCACUCCAGUCUGGGCAACAAGAGCGAAACUCCAUCUAAAAAAAAACUUAGCUCUGCAUAACAUUAUCUGCAAAUAUAUCAACUACAUUUUUUUAGCUCUUUUACUUGUGCUCACCAGACAAGGUUUGAUAGCAACUGUCUGUCACCAGCAUGAAUGAACCAAUUCAAGGAGAGCAAUAAACAGCAAUAAGCUAAGUUCCCCCAAAAGAAAUUCCUUAGAAUGAAAUAUCUCUUCUAGUUUCCACAAGAGUAAGACAAUGGUCCAUUAUGGAAAAUUCCAAUCUAAUAAAAGCUUAAAUUUAGUGUUGUCUGUUUUCCAAAUUUUUAUUUUCUUUAGGCUCCAGUCAUGGAGAAAAUGACUGCAAAGAGGCUCUGGGGAACCUGGGGAGGGAAGAAAUGUAUUCUAAGUGGGGACUGAGGUGAUGGCUGCAAAA